AGUCUGGUGCCAGCAGCCGCGGUAAUUCCAGCUCCAAUAGUGUAUAUUAAAGUUGCUGCAGUUAAAAAGCUCGUAGUUGGAUUUUGAAUUAUAAAAAUUUAACAUUCAUCUUUUAGAUGUGAUUUAAUUUUUAUAUUCUUCCUUUUGAUACGCUCCAUCAAAUUAUAUUUUUUGGAUUUAAGUGUUUCAAAUUGUUUACUGUGAAAAAAUUAGAGUGUUCAAAGCAGGCGUAACCUAGCCUUUGAAUAUAUUAGCAUGGGAUAAUGAAAUAGGACUUUAAUCCUACUUUCGUUGGUGUCUAGGGCUAAAGUAAUGAUUAAUAGGGAUAGUUGGGGUCACUAGUAUUUAAUUGUCAGAGGUGAAAUUCUAAGAUUUAUUAAAGACUAACUACUGCGAAAGCAUUUGACAAGGAUGUUUUCAUUAAUCAAGAACGAAAGUUGGGGGAUCGAAGAUGAUCAGAUACCGUCGUAGUCUCAACCAUAAACUAUGCCGACCAAGGAUCCGAGGUUGUUAAUAUGGAUGACUCUUCGGGCACUUAUAGAGAAAUCAUAAGUAUUUGGGCUCCGGGGGGAGUAUGGUCGCAAGGCUGAAACUUAAAGGAAUUGACGGAAGGGCACCACAAGGAGUGGAACCUGCGGUUUAAUUUGACCCAACACGGGAAAACUUACCAGGUCCAGACACAGUGAGGAUUGACAGAUUGAGAGUUCUUUCUUGAUUCUGUGAGUGGUGGUGCAUGGCCGUUUCUAGUUGGUGGAGUGAUUUGUCUGGUUAAUUCCGUUAACGAACGAGACCUUAACCUAUUAAAUAGUUAUUUGAACUUGAUUUUUAAAAUCAAAUGUUUAAAAAACUUCUUAGAGGGACUCUUCACUGAGAGAGUGAAUGGAAGUUUGAGGCAAAAACAGGUCUGUGAUGCCCUUAGAUGUUCUGGGCCACACGCGCGUUACACUGACAUAUUCAACGAGCAUUAUCCUUACCCGUCGGGGUUGGGUAAUCUUUUAAAUGUAUGUCGUGCUGGGGAUAGAUCAUUGUAAUUAUUGGUCUUGAACGAGGAAUUCCUAGUAAGUGCGAGUCAUCAACUCGCGCUGAUUACGUCCCUGCCCUUUAUACACACCGCCCGUCGCUCCUACCGAUUGAAUGGUCCGGCGAGAACUCAGGAUGGAUAUGGAUUUUGGACACCGUUAGGUGUUCCAACCAUAUCUAGAAUUUGUUCAAACCUUACCAUUUAGAGGAAGGAGAAGUCGUAACAAGGUCUCCGUAGGUGAACCUGCGGAAG
rnacentral:rRNA from 1 species